rnacentral:rRNA from 1 species
UGGGGAAUAUUGCACAAUGGGCGCAAGCCUGAUGCAGCCAUGCCGCGUGUAUGAAGAAGGCCUUCGGGUUGUAAAGUACUUUCAGUCGGGAGGAAGGUGUCAAGGUUAAUAACCUUGGCAAUUGACGUUACCGACAGAAGAAGCACCGGCUAACUCCGUGCCAGCAGCCGCGGUAAUACGGAGGGUGCAAGCGUUAAUCGGAAUUACUGGGCGUAAAGCGCACGCAGGCGGUUGAUUGAGUCAGAUGUGAAAUCCCCGGGCUUAACCCGGGAAUUGCAUCUGAUACUGGGCAGCUAGAGUCUUGUAGAGGGGGGUAGAAUUCCAUGUGUAGCGGUGAAAUGCGUAGAGAUGUGGAGGAAUACCGGUGGCGAAGGCGGCCCCCUGGACAAAGGCUGACGCUCAGGUGCGAAAGCGUGGGGAGCAAACAGG